GAUGGGGAUGCGUUCCAUUAGGUUGUUGGUGAGGUAACGGCCCACCAAGCCUUCGAUGGAUAGGGGUUCUGAGAGGAAGGUCCCCCACAUUGGAACUGAGACACGGUCCAAACUCCUACGGGAGGCAGCAGUGAGGAAUAUUGGUCAAUGGGCGCUAGCCUGAGCCAGCCAAGUAGCGUGAAGGAUGAAGGCUCUAUGGGUCGUAAACUUCUUUUAUAUAAGAAUAAAGUGCAGUAUGUAUACUGUUUUGUAUGUAUUAUAUGAAUAAGGAUCGGCUAACUCCGUGCCAGCAGCCGCGGUAAUACGGGGGAUCCGAGCGUUAUCCGGAUUUAUUGGGUUUAAAGGGAGCGUAGGUGGACUGGUAAGUCAGUUGUGAAAGUUUGCGGCUCAACCGUAAAAUUGCAGUUGAUACUGUCAGUCUUGAGUACAGUAGAGGUGGGCGGAAUUCGUGGUGUAGCGGUGAAAUGCUUAGAUAUCACGAAGAACUCCGAUUGCGAAGGCAGCUCACUGGACUGCAACUGACACU
rnacentral:rRNA from 1 species